UAUAAUGAAGCCCACUGGAUUAAGUGUUUAGUUGUAACUAAGUUAUUACGGGAUUGAGGUCCGUCAUUCUAG
rnacentral:tRNA from 1 species